GAUUUCUUGUGGACCCUGCAUUGGACAUUUACUCAAUUAAUUCAUGAUUAAAAACCGAAAGGAUUAAUUCACUGAAAAGAGUUGAAGUUUCACCUGACGAUUGCUCGCAACAUUUUUACUUUAAAAUGGACAGAAAUGAAUAGAAGCUAUUCCAUAAUUAAUUUUUUUAUUGAAAUUUGAAAAAUAAAUAAAUGUGUCGUGCGAGACGAUGGCUCGCAACAUUAAAAUAAUAAAUAAAACAAAAAUAUCAAAUGCAUUCAUUAAAAAUAAAAUAAAAUACGUACACUAAGAGCCAAUUUUCCUAUGAAUAAAUAAUUCCUAUGAAUAAAAGUG